GACGAACGCUGGCGGCGUGCCUAAUACAUGCAAGUUGAGCGCUGAAGGUUGGUACUUGUACCCACUGGAUGAGCAGCGAACGGGUGAGUAACGCGUGGGGAAUCUGCCUUUGAGCGGGGGACAACAUUUGGAAACGAAUGCUAAUACCGCAUAAAAACUUUAAACACAAGUUUUAAGUUUGAAAGAUGCAAUUGCAUCACUCAAAGAUGAUCCCGCGUUGUAUUAGCUAGUUGGUGAGGUAAAGGCUCACCAAGGCGAUGAUACCUAGCCUACCUGGGAGGGUGAUCGGCCACAAUGGGACUGAGACACGGCCCAAACUCCUACGGGAGGCAGCAGUAGGGAAUCUUCGGCAAUGGACGAAAGUCUGACCGAGCAACGCCGCGUGAGUGAAGAAGGUUGUCGGAUCGUAAAACUCGGUUGGUAGAGAAGAACGUUGGUGAGAGUGGAAAGCUCAUCAAGUGACGGUAACUACCCAGAAAGGGACGGCUAACUACGUG
rnacentral:rRNA from 1 species